rnacentral:rRNA from 1 species
UACGGAGGGUGCAAGCGUUAUCCGGAUUCACUGGGUUUAAAGGGUGCGUAGGCGGGCAGGUAAGUCCGUGGUGAAAUCUCUGAGCUUAACUCAGAAACUGCCAUGGAUACUAUUUGUCUUGAAUAUUGUGGAGGUAAGCGGAAUAUGUCAUGUAGCGGUGAAAUGCUUAGAUAUGACAUAGAACACCAAUUGCGAAGGCAGCUUGCUACACAGUUAUUGACGCUGAGGCACGAAAGCGUGGGGGAUCAAACAGG